UGUUAUUCGUGUGAACGAGUUUAAUAGCACAUAAAAGUAUAUAGUUGUUUUUUUUUGUGCUCAAUGGCGUCUCGUGGAUUUAUUCUGAUGAUUAUCUGUAAAGACACGAAACCCGAGAAACGGACACGUUCUAUUCGGAGACGUAUUAUGGCUUGGUACCUACGUAUUAUACGCGCACACACAUGCAUGUUUGUGUGUGCGUAUAUUUGGGUAUGAGAAGUAUAUAUCGACAGGUGUGUUUUCGAAGAUUUUUAUUGCCUUCUUGACGCGUAUGUUUUCGAAGAUAAUUUGUAAAAAUUAUACGCGUGACACUAAAAUCAUAAAUUAUAUUGUUUAUAGUAAAAUGUAUAGGUAUAUACUGAUACUUAUAUAUGUGUUUGUAUUUGUGUAUAUUCAGUGUGUUUUUUUUUUAUUAGUAAACACGUUUCUCGUUGAAACCGAAAAUCGUACUCUUCUAUAUGUAUAUCAUUAUACGCAGCUCGUUAUUCGGAGAUCCAGCCCAUCGUAACAAAACUAGUGCGUAAAAUAUAUACAUCUAUAAAUGAAUGUCAAAUAGUUACCUACAAUUUUAAAUUCGAAGUAAUACAAGACAACUUACUAGCAAACAAGAAAAAAACAACAAAUACUUAGAAAACUGUAUAACCGAGUAAAUUGAUGAGAAGCUUACUCGAAUUAAAUAUUUGAAGAAAGUUUGCUUCAAAUUUGCAAAUUAACGAUUUUAAAUUAUAUUUAUUAUAUUUUAUUAUUGUCUUCUGCACCAAUAUUAUUUAUACUUAUAGUAAUAUUAACGUUUCUUUGUGUUUACAGAUCUUAUACGGGGUAGACUAGCGUGACGAAAAGCACGAUCUGCAAGUGCUUGCCGAUAAUUUUCUACUUCCGGGCGAUUCAUUUGAACCAACUCCGACUGAAUGACCGUAUCAUUAUUGUUGCUAAGUUAUGACUUCAAUAAGAUAAAAAAAAAAACACAAACCUAUAUCCUGACAGCGCAUGAUUAAUAGGAACUGCAGUAAAUGUCUCAAACAACUAUAGGUCCGGAAGAUCCGAUCAAAAUCGACAAUGACGUGGAUCGUGUCGGCUAAGCUAUUACACGAUCCGUAUUUUUUCUAGAUAACAUAUUAUAUAGUAAUAGUAGGACUAAAUUAACGAAAACAACUCUCUUAAAACUGGACUGGACAUUAUAUAUUCAAUUUUAAUGUGUAUACCAGAACCGAGACUUAUCGAAAAAAAAUUCUGGAACCUAUUUUGGACUAUUAGAAAAUUUAUGGAACGGACACGAAACAUCAAUCUAUGACUAACGGAUUAAUUUUUGGACUAUUGUGUUAACAUUUUAAUCAGACCGAAAAUAUGGUCGGACUAUUAUUACUUUUAUUUUUCAUAUAUUGUGGACGGACCGUGCAAAGCUCUCCCUGAAAUACGUAAGUUGCUGCCAACGGAUUUGCGCCGCAGAGGAAACAAAGUUUGUGAUGACGUGGUAGUGGGAGGUGUAGAGGAGGAUUUAUCGCAAAGAAUUUCCGAAAGAAGGCGCAACAAUUUGUCAACCGGCGGGCGGAUAAUAGGAACAUACACAUUACACAUACGCGUCAACCUUUUGGCCCAUUGUUCCUGUGGCGGCAGUAUUGGACGUUCGUUUAUAUAAUACGCGUAAGUACAAUAUGUAUGUAAUAUUAUUAUUAUAUGUGCGUUGUACGGUUCUCUGUUGUCGUGAGUAGGAGGGGGUGGCUGAGAAACGUCUAAAUUGUAAUGGCAUUAUAUAUUAUUAUUAUUAUCAUUAUUAUUAUUGUUAUUUCCUUCAUCCGUGUCCGAAGACCACACCCGGUGCCGCCAGAGGUGUGAAAUGUGUUUUGUACAAACAAGACCUGCGGCGGCUUUACGGCGACGUCGACAACGACGACAACCGAUCGGUCGCUAGGACGACAAACGGAUCUCCCCGUGCGGCGCGGCAGUAGCGAGGAAUCUGACGAUCGUAAAAAAGACCGCCUCGCCCGGCGGUCGGCCGACCCGUUACCGGGAAAACGAUAGAAUUCAUGUUUUUCGGCAUAACAAAAUGUUAUUUUUAAAAUACCAGAGUUUUGACCGAAGCGACGUGCCGCGAUGUUUGGCGGUACGCCUGCGCAUGUAUAUACACUCAAAGCCCCCGAAAGUCUCCCGUGGCGCACUACUACCGAACUCAUGAAAACGAAUUCGUGUAUACGUAUUUGUAUGCCUUUGUGUGGUGGACGGCGUGUUUUAUCAUAUGUUUCGAUCAAAGUGAUCGGUGUAUACUUGUGAUAGACAAGUAUUGUUGCGGUGGGACGCUUUUAUAUUCCACGAAACAUCCCAGAUAUCGUCGUGUAAGUCGUUGUCUACUGCAACGUCAUAAUAAUUCCUAGAUGGAACUUGGAUGGAUAAAUUGUAGGUAUAUAAGAUUUUUUUUCAGGAAGAUGAUAAUUUUUCAUUUGGUUGGUUUACGAGAUUUACCUACUUUACUCAACCUAUACUAUAUUACAUUCUUGUACAGUUUUCAACAUAUAAAAGGACAUUCGAGGUUCAAGUUUAUACGAAUGUAUUAUUAUGACACUGCACGCAAUCAUCGAACACGCAUUGAGCACGUCUUCAAUUCCAGUAAUAUAAGUAAUUAUAUACUCGGCAUUUAUUGUUUAGGUGAUUAGUAGCUACAUAAUCAUACUUGUAUAACUCAAACAACAAAAAUUAUGUCAAAUACUCGUGAAAUAUAUUUUUAAAUCAUAGUUAAGACUUGAAAUCCCGCAAUACUGGUUGGCUCCUUCACACAGACUAGUUUACACAGGUCUACAGUCUUGAUGUUUUUAUAUAUAUAAUAUAUAUACAAUAUACAUACAUUUGUUUUUAUUUUUUUCCAUUUAUAUAU